rfam:Blautia sp. CAG:37, WGS project CBJJ01000000 data, contig: 305
UAACACCAGGGGCAAAAGUUCGAAAGUCUGACGCAAGCAAAGCUUACAGGAAGAUUUUUGAACUUGGGACCCGCAAAAUAUGAGUAAGUAGCCAUUUUUCGGAGAAAAAUGAGCGGAGUACGAAUAUUUUGCAGAUUACGGGAGCACGAAGUGCGGAGUAAUCUGGUGCAG